ensembl:miRNA
AAUGAUGAAGGUGCAGGCAUUUCCUGGGGAUUAGUGACCAGCUGGGAGGGACCAGUGGCCCUUGGCUCUGCCUCCAACCAGCCAUUAAUUCCAAGGAAAUGUCUUGUGCUGAGGUCAUU